rfam:Treponema denticola ATCC 35405, complete genome.
AAAACGCUGCGAGUUUGCUUACGCAAACGUCGCUUUAUUGAUUGCACUUUUUCAUUUCAUUGCAAAAGUGCGGCAAUUCGCCAAUCCUCGCCUUUUGAUAAAGGCUGCGGUUGUCGAAUUUUAAG